AAUGAGCUUAGGGCCAAGUUUAGCAUCCCACCCAAAUUUGAUCUAGAGCUCUCGGAUCCAACUAGUAGGAUUUGUAAUCCUCCUCCUGAUUGGCUCGCUCUAUACGAGGAGUUGUUUCGGACUAGUCUUAGACUCCCUCUUCUCCCUUUUAUUGUGGAAUUUUUUUUAUUUUUUGGCAUGGCCUUAUGUUCAAUGGCCUGAACUCUUGGCAUUUUAUCAUUGGCUUCUUGGCUACUUGUUUCCUGGCUGAGAUUCAGCCACCCAUUGAUCUAUUU
rnacentral:lncRNA from 1 species